AGACAGAGGCCUAAGUAAAAAUGAUUAGAACUGUUUUUGUUUGUUUGUUUGUUUUUGAGAAAAGGUCUUGCUCUGUCACCCAGGCUGGAGUGCUAUGGAAUGAUCACUUGCCGCUUGGAACUCCUGGGCUCAAGGGAUACUCCCACCUCAAACCUCCUUAGUAGCUGGGACUACGGGUGCUUGCCACUACACCCUACUAAUAUUUUUAUUUUUUUUGUAGAGACAGGGGUCUCGCUAUGUUGCCCAGGCUGGUCUCAACCUCAUGGCCUCAAAUGAUCCUCUCUCCCAUCUCAGCCUCCCAAAGUGCUAGGCUUAUAGGUACCACUGUACCUGGCUUGCUUUUUUUUUUUUUUUAAGCAUUUAUGGAUAACCCAGGAGUUAGUCAGGACCUUAUAAAGUGAAACAGUAGAUUGAAAAGCAAGGUUCUAGGCAUCAAAAUCACAUGUUUAAAAUGUUUGGGCAAGUUCUAGAGUGAGGUUUAUGACCAGGAUCCUCUUCAGCCACGUAUCUGUACAC
rnacentral:lncRNA from 1 species